ensembl:lncRNA
CUUGGACUGUUUAAAGUCAUAGGGAUGGGCCUCAGUUCCUGUAAAGUAGAUCAUAUCACACCUGUGAAAUAAAAGUGAAAGAGCAGCUCACAGACCAGAGGGAAGUCACACCAGGACAACAUUAAGUAUGUAGCGUGUGAUUCCCUUGUGUUUUCAGUCUACACCUGUACAGUGAAACGGCUCUUUGUCCUUUCAGCAGACAGUGAUGGCAGCAGCAGCGUUCAGGAGCAGAGGACUGGCUGGUGUCAGAAACAGCAACGUUUUAAUCCUCAUCUUUCUGCUGUCCCUGGUUUAUGUCACAAAUUCACUGACGAAAGCAGAAUACAAGAAGAAACAAGCAAGUGAACUUGAUGAAGAACUACAGUUUCUUCAAUCUUUGGAAGAACUAAUAAAGACAUCGUCAUUUUUUGAGGAUUUUCCUGCAAUGAUGGACUUAGUAAAUAGUUGGAGACGCUUUAUUGAGAGAACCAGCAUCCCAAUAGGUGGAGAGGAAGAAGAAAAAUGGUGAAAAUGGGGAAACAAAAGUGGAAAACAUGAAAAUCAUCCUAAAAGUCAAUGGAAUAAACUUUAAAACUUUCUGUAUAAUGUCUUUAAAAUAAAUAAUAAUAUGAAACAAAUAAUAAGAAUAAGAAUUAUUAAAUAUGAAAGGACUGAGUGGUUUUCUGUAAGAGAAAUGACAGCCAUAUGUUAUCUAUGCCGUUCUCAUUGGGAAGCAGCCAUUUUUGCAGUUUGCAUAUUAGACUGGUAAUCUAGGUGGUAUUAAACUCAAACUUAGAAAAAAGUACUUUUUACUAACUUGUGUUAAAAAAACAAAAUAGAAACUUGUAUUCACAUAUUGUUAUCUUACUGUGCUCCCUUUUAUUUGUGUCAUGGAUCGUCUGUUAUUUUCCCCCUUCUAUUAAACUUCUAAUUCUGAACAACAACAAUGAGGGCUAGCCCUAAAUAAUUGUCCCAGUUGAAAUAAAUUAUAUCAUUGCUCUGUGUGUACUUUUUUUUUUUUUGCUCUUUCCUCAUCUUCUAUCAUUCGAAUGCAUAUAGCAGACAUACUUUAUGAAAG